AGUAACGUCUAAAUUAACUUUUUUUUGCUGAUGAACUGUAUAAAUGAGUGUCUAAUAGUGUUUUAAAUGUGUGUAUUCAUUAUUUUAGCAUUUUGGUGCAUUUUCUUUAAAAAUUAAAAAUUCUGCCUAAAUACCACAGUAUAGCUCCACCUUCAGCUUAAAACAUAGAAUUUGACUCAUUUUGAAUAAAUUUUAGCCAAUGGCUAAAGAGUAAGAUACUACGUAAACCAGUAGAGUACUACGUAGCAGCUCUGUGUCAAAGUUAUAAAAGCAUCGGGAGUCUCGGCCACGCCUUGUGGUGAGUUGGGAGUUGGAUUUGCAUGCAAGUGUAGGAGGCUAGCCGAAGUUCAGCAUUAGCAUAUAGCAUUAGCAUAUCCUAGUCUUUAGCAUAGCUUUUAGUGUUAUACAUACUUAUUUAGUGUUAGCUUGGCUGUUGGAUAUUGUAGUUUAGUUACUGUUUGGCUGUUAGUGUAAUUAGGAAAGUAGUUCAGGUUUAGUGCUCCAUAUCGUGUUAGCAUGGUGAGAUGGUGUAGUGUAGUAUGGUUGCGGAGCUCUGUCGGGUUGCACUCCUUUCCGCUGGACUUAGAAAUUAGGCGCCAGUGGUUGCGUGUCUGGAAAAGAUUCAGCUCCCACCUGGUGCUGUAGUUUGCAACCAGCAUUUUACCCGCGAUUCUGCACGUCUCCGUUCCAAGAGGGAGGCUGUGCCCACCGUGGCUCUUCCGCGAUUUAGAUACAGCCCACCGACUCUGCUCCCCCACCAUGACGGGCUACAGUCUGAGGCUAAAUCUACCCAAGACGCUGGCUGUCAGACUGAUUUAGUAAUCUGCAAGAAUGCACUUGUCCAGGCUGACGUGGUGUUACCCGUAGCAAAGAGCUCACAGCCUCAGUGUCUUGUGACACAGAGACCAUGACAGAUAUUCAUCUUCCAGAAGGUCCCAGAGCAGCAUCCACACCUCCUGAAAAGACCAAGAUGUGAGGUGUCUGCUGUUGAUUCCAGCUUCCACCUCAGUGACAGUGCAAGCUCAGUGAACUGUUCAAGGAGGCUACUGAUUCUGGCCCUGUGACACUUGGUGGUGACGUGUGAGCUGAUUCACCUGGACACUCAGCAAAAUAUGGACUCUACACCAUGAGGCAGGCACAACUCUAUGCCUAAUAACUCUAUAAGAGCACAUAAGGUGAGCAACACCACAUUAUUUUUAUUACUGUACACUGUCCUGGAUUUGUUUUCUUUCUGCAUCUCAACAUUAGCCUGGCUGAUCACCUGAUAACUCCGGUCAUCUGGUUAUGACAGCAUGAGGAUGUCCUCACACACCUGUCAUCUGGUUAUGACAGCAUGAGGAUGUCCUCACACACCUGUCAUCUGGUUAUGACAGCAUGAGGAUGUCCUCACACACCUGUCAUCUGGUUAUGACAGCAUGAGGAUGUCCUCACACACCUGUAAACUAUCAGCUCAUCUGGCAGAAUAGAGAGAAGAGACAACACCACACCUCCUGUUCCUGGAAAGCCUUCAGCCAUCCUUCGAUGACUGAGAACCUCCAUCAGCUCUGUCUCCUGUCUGCCUACAAUUAUUAUAAUAAAUAUUGUGUUUGACAAGUU